GCGAGUCAGUCACACUCAAUGUUUUUAUCGUUUUUAUCAUGAAAUCAAUGGUUUCAGUGAUUUUUACAACGUAAUUAGUGCAGACUAGUAUGCAAACUAUAUUUUUGCAUGAAUAUUGUAAAAAAAAUUCAUCUUGAAUAGAUGGGACUGACUUGCGGUUACCGGCAGUACGGUGUGGUAAAAUAUGCAUUUUUCAGUUUUCAUUUUUUUCGAAAGUCACAACCCACCAAAAAAAAAGUAAAAGAGAAUCAAAAAGAGUUUUGAAAAAUGAAAAACACGGUUGGCUGAAUAAAAAACAAUUUGACGAAAAACCUCUCUUAGACUCCACGAAUGAACAAUGAGAACUCGUUUGGUAUCAACAAACAGUUGGAAGCUUGGCCGACUCGCCAACGAAAACCUUUAGAAAUCGCAAGAAUUCGGAUAUUCAAGAAAACUCAAACAAUGUCACAUUUAGAACAUAACGUCGUAAGGGCCAUUUAUUGCAUCGGGGUUUUAACACUAAAUUGAAUACGAAUAAAUAGCGCUCAGUAGCGUAUAUUAGCAAGAGUUGGUAAGCUUAGCUUCCAGCUUCAGCAUUGUACAUGAAUUAGGCCAUGGAGAAGACACCAUGCGUGAUGCAAUAAACCUAUCUACACAUCUGGUUGUGUGCCUGAGCAUACUUUGGAUUUAGAACAAUGAUUAUAAAAAUAUACGUUUUAUAAACGCUGAAUAUUGCAGCAGCUGCAGCACGUGGUUUCACAUUAGGUCUAAUUGGCUAAUCGGCUAACCUUGCGCACUUCAAACGAAGUUUUAGAUAGUUGUUCUGAUCAAAUCUAUAUGCAUGGUUAGCUAUUUGUGCUUGCGACUAAUUAAAAGGUUCAUUCAUCUCUAUUCCUUUGUCGGUUUUGUAUUUUUUUUGUCAAAGUCAAUUUUUUGAUUCCACUCUGCUAUAGUGUUCUGAGUUCCGAUAGCAUGGUUGUCCCAAAUUUAUAUUUUUAGAGUUUCUGUAAACUUCAAAACCAGUGGGCCUAUAUAGAGUACUACAAAUAUAAUAUUUAAAUGCAUAUAUGGUUGACUUUGUCAAAAAAUUUGUGAUUUCACACGUGAUAACGUUUUAAUUGGUUUGUCAAGA